GACGUUGCAGCCUCUCCCUUCUCAUGCCCGACAUCCUUCGGGGGAAACCCUAGAUCUGCUGUUGCGGAUCGGGCGAUGAUGACACAAUCGGCUUUGCUCGGCUCGACGUCAUAUAUCCUCUUGAGGACGUCGUUUUGAAGAUAGACUUGGCCAGAGGGACCCGAUGCUCAUGUUUGGUGGUUGGCGACGGCUUGUAUAGCAUCACCGUGAGAACAGCAAAAGCACCCUUCACAUGCAAGUUUCAUCAGGCAAGUUAUGGCCGCCAACCUCGCGAGAUUGAAGCGGCAUAUGUUUGCUCUAUCGGACAUAGCGUUCCUCUUGGAUGUCAUCGAGUUUCACGGAUAUGCUUGUGGCAGCUCAGAUUGAUACAACGGUUUUUACUUUGCACUUUGAUAGCGGCUGAAAGCGCUCGAGUGCCCGGCCGGGUGUGUUGUACGGUGUUGGCCUUCUGAGGUGUUGUAUGUGUUGUGGUGCUUUAGGCCUGGUUGUUAGGCGCUGUUUUAGGUUUUCACCCGGUUUUUCUUAUAAACUGAGCAUCCUUUUUCAUUCUUCUUCUUUUGGCACU
rnacentral:lncRNA from 1 species